GGCCCUAUCGUCUAGCGGUUAGGACACGGCCCUCUCAAGGCUGAAGCCCGGGUUCAAUUCCCGGUAGGGUCA
rnacentral:tRNA from 1 species